rnacentral:rRNA from 1 species
UGGGGAAUAUUGCACAAUGGGGGAAACCCUGAUGCAGCGACGCCGCGUGAGCGAUGAAGGCUUUCGAGUCGUAAAGCUCUGUUCUAUGGGAAGAUAAUGACGGUAUCAUAGAAGAAAGCCCCGGCUAAUUACGUGCCAGCAGCCGCGGUAAUACGUAAGGGGCGAGCGUUGUCCGGAAUUAUUGGGCGUAAAGAGUGCGUAGGCGGCACAUUAAGUCAGAUGUGAAAACUAAGGGCUCAACCCAUAGAUUGCAUCUGAAACUGAUAUGCUUGAGUCAAGGAGAGGAAAGUGGAAUUCCUAGUGUAGCGGUGGAAUGCGUAGAUAUUAGGAGGAAUACCGGUGGCGAAGGCGACUUUCUGGGAUUGAACUGACGCUGAGGCACGAAAGCGUGGGGAGCAAACAGG